rnacentral:rRNA from 1 species
UACGUAGGUGGCAAGCGUUAUCCGGAAUUAUUGGGCGUAAAGCGCGCGCAGGCGGUUUCUUAAGGCUGGUGUGAAAGCCCACGGCUCAACCGUGGAGGGUCAUUGGAAACUGGGGAACUUGAGUGCAGAAGAGAAAAGCGGAAUUCCACGUGUAGCGGUGAAAUGCGUAGAGAUGUGGAGGAACACCAGUGGCGAAGGCGGCUUUUUGGUCUGUAACUGACGCUGAGGCGCGAAAGCGUGGGGAGCAAACAGG